rnacentral:rRNA from 1 species
UACGAGAUGUGCGAGCGUUGUUCGGAAUUACUGGGCAUAAAGGGUUCGUAGGUGGUUCGAUAAGUUGGUGGUGAAAUACCUCGGCUCAACCGGGGAAUUGCUUUCAAUACUGUCGGACUUGAGUGCGAAAGGGGUAAGUGGAAUUCCAGGUGUAGCGGUGGAAUGCGUAGAUAUCUGGGAGAACGCCAAAAGCGAAGGCAGCUUACUGGGUCGCAACUGACACUGAGGAACGAAAGCUAGGGGAGCAAAC